ensembl:lincRNA Ftx Ftx transcript, Xist regulator (non-protein coding)
AAGCAGAAGGCCUCUGCGCGGGAAUGAAAGUGCGCAUGCGUAAGAGGGAGCAUGUUGGCCGUUUAACACUAGAUUUUAUUGGCUGCAGACACACGCAGCAUCUUCUUGCGCUCCUCCUUGAGGUGGAUGGGCAGCUAGCUGGAGAUGACACAGGAUGAUGCGCAUCUUUCGCACGCUGGCUCCAAGAUCUCCGCUGCCAGAUGCAGCAACAAAGCUUCUUUGUACAGACAGCCCUGGACACACUUCCAGCAGCAAUUCUUCUUGCAGGAACUGGUGCAAGAACAGGAUUUAUUCGUGGCACAGGAGCAGUUGGUGUCCACUGGGAGUGGAGGCAGAAGAGAGACCAGAGCGGGUAUGUUAGGAGAGAAAGCAGUGACUUCAACAGAAGUGGAGUAAAUAAAGAUGAUCACAGAACUUGGAAGCUGACGAAAUUAAUUUUGGAAAAGAGCUGGCUUGGAGCAUGACAGAAGAAUUCGAUGGAAAGAGUGCUGGGAGCCCAACUCAAGACUGAUGUGUGCUUGGCAGGCAGUCUACCCCCGAUCUCAGUCCUCCAGCCUUUCGGCCUUUUUUCCUUUUUGGAGACAGAAUUGCAUCAUAUGGCAUCCUACACAGUCCUGCCUCAGUCUCUGCAGUGCUGGGAUUGUAGGCCUAUGCCACCUAGCCUUUCUACAAU